rnacentral:lncRNA from 1 species
GCCCAGGCUGGCCUUGAAUCCGCAGGUAUCUUCCUGCCUUAGCCUCCUGAGUGCCAUGUUGAAAGAUGAGCUCCACCAAGCUCAGCCUGAUUCCCUUGGAUCUUACCCCAGCUUGUGUUUGGAUUUCUCCACAGCCCUUGGAUGUCUAUCUGACCUCACUGUGGUCACCAUGGCGGUACCGCUCAGCCCAGAUCUGGGGGCUGAAAUGGAUGUGGGAGAAUUCGAAGAGGAUAUGAGCUCUCGCAUGGGAGAGCAUGAGCUGCGAUUUGAAGACUGUAGAUCAGGUUCUGUUAGACCUGGAGCAGCUCUCGGCUCCCUGAACAACAAGGAGCUGAAACGUGGGGCCAUGAGGUCCAGAGAUGACGUUGACUCUCUGCUGGGGGAGAGGCUGCACCCCGAGGAGCGGGAGCUGCCUGCACAGCUGCCCCUGGCCGAGCAGCUGAGGUAAGGGGCUGUGCGGGUGGUCGGGGAAGGUGUGUGAGUCCCUGAAAGGGGCAGCUGGGCUGUGAGAAGCAAGAGCAGGCGAGGGCCAGGGAGCACAGGACCCCACAGACAUGGGCUCCGGGUACUCAUAAAACAUGCAGGGAAGAAAGGUGACAGGUGAUGCACUUGGAUUGCUCUGAAGACCUUCAUUUGUGCUUUUCCAAAAUGCAUUGAGGUCAGUUUCACACAGUAUAAAAUGAAGGAAAAGACAGUGAACAGCUGUGUGCUGACUGUGGAGGGGCAGCCUGGGUGUGGUGCUGUCCGUCCCCAUCCCUCUUCCUCCCGGGCACCGUGUGCCUGGUGAAGGCAGGUCCCACUUCAUGCACAGGAGCCGUGGCUUCCUGAGCCUGCAGAGCUCUGCUCCUGCAUUUUCCCAGCAGCCCCAGCUGUAUGUGGACACGUGUCUGUGUCGGGUGUGCGUCCCACUCUGCACAGGACGCUGAGUCUCUGUGGACAGGGAUGGAGAGAUCUGGCUUGGAUGACAGAGGAAGAGAUGAGGGCCAUGUCGGGGAUCCUACAAGAGCAUCGGCCAGGAGGGAGAGCUGUUAAUUUACCUCCUUUGCCUUUGCCACAGGAGACUGUCC